UUUGCAAGAUUAUUAAACAACAAAUUGUUAAAACGGCCAUGCUGCUCUCUUUCUCCUUCGUGGUUUUGAUAUUUUUUUGUUCAAAAAGGACAGAUGCAGACUCAGUAACUCAGCCCGAAGGCACCGUUACCAUCCAUGAAGGAAAACCUGUGCUUCUUUAUUGCACCUAUGAUUACUCUGGGUCUCCUGCACUCUACUGGUACGCGCAGUAUCCUCAUGAAGUCCCUCGCCUGUUGCUGACACAAUAUGGAGCCUCGGAUGAGGAGGAGAAGAGACGCAGGCGAGGGUUCUCUGCUAAACUGGAGAAAGACUCCAAAUCCUUCCACCUGGAGAAAAACUCCAGCGAAGUGAGCGACUCUGCUGUCUACUACUGCGCCUUGAGAGACACAGGGAGCAAAGCCACCUGGGAGCUGAACAAAAACCUCCCUGACUGACAGAAACACGAAGGGCUGAAAUAGCUGAGAUUUCGCGUGUCAAGACCUCAGAGCGUAAUCUCUAUUCCUUAAUAUCUUUGUUUUAUUCUUCAACUUCUCCCCCCCCCCCACGCUCUUUUUUUUUUUACCCUAGCCUUGGGUAGCAUUUGGAUCACAAUUAGGAGUCAGGGAUUAAAGGUUAUUACGGUUUUAUCUACUGCUUAGACUGUAAGGUUAAAUUUAUUUGUAUCAUUGAGGUUAAGGAUUAGGGUUGGAAUAACAGUCAGUUUAAGAGUUAGG